UAGUCCACGCCGUAAACGAUGGACACUAGUUGUUGGAGGGCUUGACCUUUCAGUGACGUAGCUAACGUGUUAAGUGUCCCGCCUGGGGAGUACGUCCGCAAGGAUGAAACCCAAAGGAAUUGACGGGGGCCCGCACAAGCGGUGGAGCAUGUGCUUUAAUUCGAUGCAACGCGAAGAACCUUACCUGGUCUUGACAUAUCACUGACCGUACUAGAGAUAGUAUUUUUUCUUCGGAAACAGUGAAUACAGGUGCUGCAUGGUUGUCGUCAGCUCGUGUCGUGAGAUGUUGGGUUAAGUCCCGCAACGAGCGCAACCCUUGUCCUUAGUUGCUAGCAGGUAAUGCUGAGAACUCUAAGGAGACUGCCCAGCAAGUGGGAGGAAGGUGAAGAUGACGUCAAUCAUCAUGGCCUUACGACCAGGGGCUAGACACGUGCUACAAUGGCCGGUACAAUGGGUUGCUACCUAGCGAUAGGGAUGCUAAUCU
rnacentral:rRNA from 1 species